CUCUCGUUACUUUUUGGCAAUACGUUUGAAGUUCAUUUGAACAAUUCUCUCUGGACUUUUGGGUACACCUUUCUUCAUAAGAAGUGCUAUGGGAGGCAUUACGCCAGGAGUUAGCCAAGCUAUAAAUUAAGCAGGAGAAAGGUGAGAGAAAGACUAACUACUACCGGGUAGUGUACAGGCAGGCGUUCAUGACACAACGAUAUCGCUGAUUUAUUGUGGUCAUUUAAUUGUCACUUAAAACUAGUAAAAGGUCUUGUUAGUCCUUAUGCCUAGAGCAAGUUAAUACAAUAAGUAUGCUGCUCGUUGCAAACUGCUAUCGACAUUUCAGGGGGCAUUUGUGAUGUAAGAAUGUAACAUCCAAACUUUCAAACUUUGUGUUAAUUCCUUUAAUACAUCAAGCAACCAGUGUUUGGUUUGCUAGGAAUCAGUUGAUAGACUCUACGGUGCAAACGUUUGUUACUAAGGGUUGGCACCCUAAUUGGCUCAUCAAGUGAACAACUGUCAAACUCCAUACAAAACCAGUAAGGAAUGGCAAAAGACGGGCGGAGCCGA
rnacentral:sRNA from 1 species